GACGAACGCUGGCGGCGUGCUUAACACAUGCAAGUCGAACGGAAAGGCCCUUCGGGGUACUCGAGUGGCGAACGGGUGAGUAACACGUGGGUGAUCUGCCCUGCACUUUGGGAUAAGCCUGGGAAACUGGGUCUAAUACCGAAUAUGAUCAUCGGCUUCAUGGCUGGUGGUGGAAAGCUUUUGCGGUGUGGGAUGGGCCCGCGGCCUAUAAGCUUGUUGGUGGGGUAAUGGCCUACCAAGGCGACGACGGGUAGCCGGCCUGAGAGGGUGUCCGGCCACACUGGGACUGAGAUACGGCCCAGACUCCUACGGGAGGCAGCAGUGGGGAAUAUUGCACAAUGGGCGCAAGCCUGAUGCAGCGACGCCGCGUGAGGGAUGACGGCCUUCGGGUUGUAAACCUCUUUCGCCAGGGACGAAGCGCAAGUGACGGUACCUGGAGAAGAAGCACCGGCCAACUACGUGCCAGCCGCCGCAGUAA
rnacentral:rRNA from 1 species